UGGAGCUCCACUCAUUAUUCUUAACCUUGUUAAGAUUAAAGAGAAAAAAGCUCAUGAGCAAAUAUUAAGCGGGCUGCUCAAAGAAAGUAUUGAUUAUCUAAAUCAGUUUCUUCCUCCAGAGCAUUUCAUACAAUACAUCCCUUGGGAUAUGGCUAGAGUUACAAAAAGCAAAGAAGAUAAAGUUAUUGAAGUUCUUGCAAAAAUUGCAGAGAAGGUAAU
rnacentral:lncRNA from 1 species